GUGGGGAAUUUUGGACAAUGGGCGCAAGCCUGAUCCAGCAAUGCCGCGUGCAGGAAGAAGGCCUUCGGGUUGUAAACUGCUUUUGUAUGGAACGAAACGGUCCGGGUUAAUACCCUGGGCUAAUGACGGUACCGUAAGAAUAAGCACCGGCUAACUACGUACCAGUAGCCGCGGUAAUACGUAGGGUGCAAGCGUUAAUCGGAAUUACUGGGCGUAAAGCGUGCGCAGGCGGUUUUGUAAGACAGGCGUGAAAUCCCCGGGGUCAACCUGGGAAUUGCGCUUGUGACUGCAAGGCUGGAGUGCGGCAGAGGGGGAUGGAAUUCCGCGUGUAGCAGUGAAAUGCGUAGAUAUGCGGAGGAACACCGAUGGCGAAGGCAAUCCCCUGGGCCUGCACUGACGCUCAUGCACGAAAGCGUGGGGAGCAAACAGGAUUAGAAACCCCAGUAGUCC
rnacentral:rRNA from 1 species